rnacentral:piRNA from 1 species
UGGGACUGUAAGAUAGCAGCAUUCUGG